rnacentral:rRNA from 1 species
UACGAAGGGGGCUAGCGUUGCUCGGAAUCACUGGGCGUAAAGCGCACGUAGGCGGAUUGUUAAGUCAGGGGUGAAAUCCUGGAGCUCAACUCCAGAACUGCCUUUGAUACUGGCGAUCUCGAGUCCGGGAGAGGUGAGUGGAACUGCGAGUGUAGAGGUGAAAUUCGUAGAUAUUCGCAAGAACACCAGUGGCGAAGGCGGCUCACUGGCCCGGUACUGACACUCAACUACGAAAGCGUGGGGAGCAAACAGG